UAGAGUUUGAUCCUGGCUCAGGAUGAACGCUGGCGGCGUGCUUAACACAUGCAAGUCGAACGAUUAAAGCUCUCUUCGGAGAGUGUAUAAAGUGGCGAACGGGUGAGUAACACGUGGGCAAUCUGCCCCUCACACUGGGAUAACUCAGGGAAACUUGAGCUAAUACCGGAUACUCCGGGAUGACCGCAUGGUCGACCCGGGAAAGCUCCGGCGGUGAGGGAUGAGCCCGCGGUCCAUUAGCUUGUUGGUGGGGUAAUGGCCCACCAAGGCUGCGAUGGAUAGCCGACCUGAGAGGGUGAUCGGCCACACUGGGACUGAGACACGGCCCAGACUCCUACGGGAGGCAGCAGUGGGGAAUCUUGCACAAUGGGCGAAAGCCUGAUGCAGCAACGCCGCGUGCGGGAUGAAGGCCUUCGGGUUGUAAACCGCUUUCAGCAGGGAUGAAAACGACAGUACCUGCAGAAGAAGCCCCGGCUAACUACGUGCCAGCAGCCGCGGUAAUA
rnacentral:rRNA from 1 species